rnacentral:lncRNA from 1 species
GGAGGAAGGGAUAUUUCGUGUUCUUCCCAGGGUUUUGAUUUAGGGAGGAAUGUUAGUGUUAAAUCAAAACAACUUUCAACUCUAUUUCAUUCUAUAAAUUUAAAAUCUCACAAACAAAUCAAGUUAAUUGAAAAGUUUUGCAUCUUACCUGGGUGUCGGUUCUUUCUCUGUCAUUCCUUUACUCUCGAUCUCCUUUUUGUUCUCUUCUCUUAUUUCCUUAACUCU